CGGGCGGAUCAUGACAGGUCGCAGCGAUCUUCCAAACUGAUUACGCGAGUUCGAUUCUCGUCGCCCGC
rnacentral:tRNA from 1 species